CAUACCUGGGAGGUGGGCAAGAGGCAGGCAGGUCAGAGCGGGUCUGCAGCUCAGGCGCUGCGCGGGGGCUCUGCUCCACAGAGCUUAAGAGAAAGUACUUUCUACCCCACCCCCAAUGGACUGCCUAGCCACACACAGGUUUUCUGGUUGCACAGUUAUGAGCAGCCCCGAUGCAGGAACACAAUGGCAGUGCCCCGAGGUCCUGAAAUUCACCAAUCACAAACCAGCGGAGACCACACUGUGCUGGGAGCUACUUAGAGAAAACUGACUAAAGGAAUGAACACCUGUGUGGCCCUGAUGGACUCUGCUCAGCCAUACAGACGCAGUUCAGAUGGGAUCACUGGACUGUCAUGAUCUGAAUUUUGAUCACUUGAGUAGUAUUCACAAGAAAUCACCCUUUUGUUCUAUUACACUUAUUUAUUGAGUGUGUGUGCACCCAUACAAAGCAUGGCUUGGGCAUGAAGGUCAAAGGACAACUUGCAGACGUCCAUUCUUUCCUUCCAGUCCUGGGGAUUGAACUCAGGGAGUCAGACUUGCUGGUAGGCACCUUUAGACCCACUGAGCCAGGUUGCCAGCCUUACCCAUUUAUUUUACUAACAUCCAUAUCAUUAGGAAAAGCCUUCCUCCAGGAUAGCUGGUGAGAGCGAACACUGUGGGUGUUUUGACCUGGGCAAACAGAGCUGAGAUUUGGAAGCUGGGUCUAGGAGGCUCAGCAAAGAUCUCAAGCUGGAGUUUGGGGGUUCUACAUCAAGACACACAAAAGCCAAGCCGUGAGGCGGAGACAAGCCUGUCAGGAUGAGGAAACUCCAUCUGUGGCAAGGAGACAUUGGGGUCUGUUAGGGACAGCCCACGGUGACAACGAUGAGUACAGCAACAAAGAUGACUGGAAGGCAGAAUAAUGGCCACGAGGAGAGUUUUCUACAGUGAGUCUCCCUCAGCACCUAUUCUCAUUGCUCUUCAUAAAGCAGCUUCUAAGUGGCCUAGGAGCCAGAGAGAGGCAGGCAACUAUCUUUGGACAGACUUCAAACUGCCUGACAUCUUUCUGCAUCUUCAGGUAGGUCCCACGGGGCAGGAGUAUUGCUCAGUGGUGAGCGCUUGGCCAGCACGGACCCUGUGUUCUACCACACCACCACAGAAGCAGGUUUGGGAUUCUGAUAGCAACAUCCCAUUGAAGUAUGAACCCCGCCACCACCACCCCCCAGUCACCCCUAACAAGCAUUCCCUCCCUGCUUCCUCACAGACCCAGCCAGAAGAAAGAAUCCUGUUGCUCCUCUGAGCACCGUGGGUGCCACCUGGGUGUCUCUGUUAAAGACAAUCCAGACUAAGAACGUGCUACAAAAACCCCACGGGAUGUUUUAUUUAUAACUCUUUAAAGGGGGUAUCCUUAAAGAGAUCACCCUUCACCACAGCAGUCACUGGGUCUGUAAGAGUCAGCCCUGUUACUGCUGACUUCAAACCACACCAGCGACUCCUGAGCUCUGAAAGAGCUCCUGGAAGGACGUGCCAGCAUUAUGGCUCCAGCUCCUAAUGAGCUCAAAUAAGCCACACACGUUUCAAAUUCAUGGGUGUCUCCAGCCAAAUCUUCUGGCAGUGAGUUUUUCAAAGAUCUUUGAAAUUUAGUGGUCACUCAGAGGAGCCUUCCUGGAGAGGCAGAGAGAUGCCAGCCAGUUUGGAGUUCUGCAGAGAGGGGAAGUGCUCAGCCUGCCUCUCUCUUCCCAGCUUCACUCCUUUAAGGGGCCAGGCAGCCAGAGCCGCACUGAAGCAAGUCCCUAUAUCCUCAGCACACUGAGAGUUGGGCUUAGCUAUGUAUCUUGAACUAGUCAGUGAAAUACUGGGUUGAAGCGAUGAGAUACAUAGAAUUUACCUCAAUUUGAUCAAAGCCUGGCACAGGUUGAGUCUGAAGAAGCAGAAGUAAAAUAAAUACCACAGUGAGCCAAGGACGCUUGGGACUGUUUGUUACAAAGCAUCACCAUAGCUAAAGCUGACUGCUACAACAUCACACAUAUUUGUUCCUCCCUUCACUAGGAUGCCCUUGGGAGCUCAAGGAGGCAUGAAAGGGCAGGCAGGGAAGAGGCCUUUGGUGGUGAUGGGGCAAUCAGCUUCAGGAUCGCCCACAUUUCUGGAAUACAGGAAAUGGACCCACAGAAGGCCAGGGUGGAAGAUAAGGACCUCAGAGUCACCCAACAACUCUUAGGACAGAGCCCAGUCCCUGAGGUGGCAAACUGCAGCAGGAUCACUCAGAGUUGCAGUGAGCAACUGUGCUCCCUGGAGGUGUCUGGGGGCUCAGGCUUCAUGUGCGGAAAGCGUCCCACCCAGCACAGACUGGCCCUUCUUCCAAGCUCACGCCAGCCACUGCUCUGCCCUCCUCCAUGCCACAGUUUUGACGACUGAGUCACACAAAGUUCUACUUUGUGUUGGAAGCCCAAGCCACACAUUCCUCGGUGGUGAAUAUCAGACAUACUUCUCUUUUAGCCAGCUCAUAGUCCUACGGUAGAAGCCAUCUGGUAGGGAGGGGUGUGUCACAGAAGCAUAAGGUGGUUCUAACUCCCUGUCCCCUUAUCAAAUGACAUUACAUGGAGCCAUAGAGCUAAAACCAUUAACAGAGGACUCGUCUCCUCCCCUCAAGGGCACAAGCUAUAUUUCUUUGACUCCACUUCUACUGUUCAUUUUAAUCAUGGCCACAUCAAAUUUUGUAACUUGCAGUUGUUCUCAUAUGCAACCAUCCAGCAUGUCACCCCACCUCCAUCCCCAAUACCUGUCAAUACCUGUCAUUUAGACUGUCCAGAAAGAGCAAUGACUCGUGUACCUGGGGGGUGGGGGGUGUUCUAAGAACCGUGACUGCUGUACUUGACUCAGUUUACUAUGGGACUUACCAGGAGGAAGAAUUCACAAAAGCCUUGCAACUUGGACAGGCUGUGGGCUCUGUCAUCCCAGCAAGUGUUUAUAUGGAUACAGUGUAUCCAUGAGACUGUAUCAUAUUGUAACACCGCAUAGAUACAAUGUCCUGGUAUCAGAGCCGGCUUUAAGUUACAAUGUGUCAUCAGCUGACAUUCAUCUGGCUGGAUGCCCAGACCUGCUAGCUUCCAAGGACUAGAACUCUUGAGCGCAAUGCUAGAAAUGUGACAAAUGCACCCACAUCCAUUCCCUGGUAGUCUGGGCUUUUAAAUGUUCUUCCCCACUCCGCUUUGGGUUUUUUGGGUUUUGUUGGUUGAGGAUGUGUCAACAUGCACAAAGGGGCACCCAUCAAAUCAGGAUGAUGGCUUCUUCUUUACUCUCUUUAUUUUUGGAGCCUCAGACUUCUGUCUUGCAGAUCUUCCUAAGAUAAACAAUAGACUAUUGUGAAGUAUAGGUCCCUAAAACAGAACUUGCUCCUCCAGCUGUAUACAUUGGCUUCUGCUGUCGAAUCCCCCUUCACCCAGCCCUCCCACCUCCCAGCCCCUAGUAUUGACUACGAAGUCACUUUUUUAAAGCAUCCACAUAUUAAAGAGAACACACGACAUACUCUGGUUUUGUUUGUUUGCUAAUUAGAAUAUGCUUCUCUUGCCCUGCCUAGCUCUUGUUUUGAAUAUGUGGGGUUUUAUCAGGUAUUUUAAUGCCAUCCCUUAAAAAAAUUAUGAGGGGAGGGGCAUAUGCACAUCAUAGCAUAAACGCACACGAAUGGAAGGCAGAGGAAAGCUACAUGUAGUUGGUUCUCAGGGAUAAAACUCGGGUCUCCAGGCUUGCCUGCAAGCACACUGUCUGCUAGACUGUCUUACCAGGUUAAGUCUCAUCAUACAGGGACUGUGAAUGUUUACGUACCGAAUGUACUAAUGUUGUUGAUUUGCUUGUACACAGAAAACAAGUAUCAAAACAUCACAUCACACCUCAUAAAUACAUACAAUUACCAUGUCAAUUAAAUGAUUAAAAUAAAAUAAAAUGGCUCAUCAGAUCUGAAAAACCCCCCUUUAAAGAGGCAGGAAGCAGACUGAUAGACCAGCCGUGUUGACA